CCUCACGAAGACUUACUCUCAUUCCUCAUCAUCUCUCGUCUUCGAUCCAUCUCCCUCGCCCUCACUCUCGACCUCGUUUUCCUUAUUCUGAAUCUAAUCCUCAAACUCACAUUAUCUCUCCAUCGCUCACAUUAGCCUCACGAUACUACUCUCACCCAAAAAUGCACAAAUCCAUGGUUUCAAAAGAGGAUCAAGUAAGAAGCUCACCUUCGACGGUGACGACGCCGCCGACGAAGCUUGAAUCUUCCUUCUUCGCCUCUUCAAUCUAGGUUUUUUUUCGCCGUUUUCCAAUUAGGGUUUUUGUCUCUCAGAUUUUUUUCGUCCUCUCUCUCGUUUUCCUUCUCACCUUCCCUUUUAUAUUCAGCAAUUAGGGUUUUAGACUGACCUCUGGAGAUCAAAAGGGGUUUCUGCGAAAUCCCUUUAGGGUUGUCAAAUUUUGGUCGCCCUAUUUGAUUGUUAAAUUCGGAAAAGUGAAUUCGGUGAAAACAUGAGUAGCUUCGGUUUUCACACGACCUUGGUGGAAUUGGUAUUUUCUAGCCUAUUGGUUUUACUUCAACAUGUGAUGGUCUGGUUUGGGCAUUGUGGUCGGGUUUGUGUUAUGUUGAACUAGUGCAAGAUGUGGGUUAGCUCGGUUGCAUGAACCUGUUGCUCGAAGCUCAUGUUGGUUUGAUGGUUUAGGUGAUGGUUUGCCUAAUUACUCGUAGCAGUGAAAAUGGUGUCUAGCUGGUUUGGUAUGUUUGUGUGCAGGUCAUCUGUUGGUAGUUCGGCAAGGUUUUAUAGGAUUGCUGCAGGACCAAGGUUUAGGUACUAAUGGAUGCAGGACUAAUCCAUGGCCAUUUCCUGCAUGAUAAUGAUGGUGUGAUGCUGUUGCAAAGCAAGAUGACAUAAGUUGCGACAACAAUAACGAUUAAACUGUCAUGGAGCUCCUUGACCAACGGUUAGGGCAGGCUAAAGGCAAAUGGCUAAGAAUCCGUGGCCAAUACAACAUGGUUUGCAUCACGGUGCUUGCUUGCUCGAGUUUGUGCACUGUAAAAAUUGUUGUUGAACUGUCACUACCAAUGUAUUGCAGGUUGCCUGACUUGAUUUUCUUUUGCAGGAUGAUGUUUGCUGCAGGUAGCUUGCCUUGCCUGCUGCAGAAUUGUAGGUCUUGAAAUCCGUAGAAUCAGUUAUGCAUUGAUUGAACCGAAUCUUGAAAUGUGUCGUGGCUAUUUGUUAAUACUUUUAAGAUUUAUGACUUAUGCUGAAGAUGUCUAGGUGCUGGUGCAAUAGGAUAUUACUGCUUGAUACUCAUUAUGCAAAUGUUAGUAAAAACUGUUAGCAGGUUGGCCGAAUGUGAUGCUAUUAUUUGAGAGAGAAAUUGAUGCACAAAUGUCUACCUUUUAGCCUUCUUAAACAUCCCAUGAAGUGGUUUGGUUCACUGGUUUUUUUUUAUACUUUGGGUGCAGGUUAACCGCUUGGAUGCGAGCUGCUUAGUUCGGGGCUGUUUUGGAAUUCUUAUGGAGCGCUAUGGCCUUGAUGAUGUUGAUUCGCUACUGUUAGAAAAAUCAUAUGUAAUGGAUUGGGAUAUAUAGAAUGUAUUGAAAUGGUUUACGUAUGUUUGUAUGGUUAUGGUUGUAGUAUAUCAUGACAUGUGUUGAAAUUUUGAAUGGAACCAUUGAAUUUGAAAUGGAAACGAGGUGUAUUUGAAUUGAUUAAA